GCGGUGGUAGUUCAACGGUAGAAUGUCUCCCUUCCAAGGAGAAGGUUGCCAGUUCAAAUCUGGUCCACCGCU
rnacentral:tRNA from 1 species